rnacentral:rRNA from 1 species
UCCGGAGGGAGCUAACGUUGUUCGGAAUUACUGGGCGUAAAGCGCACGUAGGCGGCUUUUUAAGUCAGGGGUGAAAUCACGGGGCUCAACCUCGGAACUGCACUUGAAACUGGGAAGCUAGAAUCUUGGAGAGGCGAGUGGAAUUCCGAGUGUAGAGGUGAAAUUCGUAGAUAUUCGGAAGAACACCAGUGGCGAAGGCGACUCGCUGGACAAGUAUUGACGCUGAGGUGCGAAAGCGUGGGAAGCAAACCGG